rnacentral:rRNA from 1 species
AGAGUUUGAUCAUGGCUCAGGAUUAACGCUAGCGGCAGGCCUAAUACAUGCAAGUCGAACGGGAUUCAAGGUAGCAAUAUUUUGAUGAGAGUGGCGCACGGGUGAGUAACACGUAUGCAAUUUGCCUUUAACUGGGGAAUAGCCCUCCGAAAGGAGGAUUAAUACCGCAUAACAUUUCAGAAUGGCAUCAUUUUGAAAUUAAACCUCCGGGGGUUAAAGAUAAGCAUGCAUCCGAUUAGGUAGUUGGUGUGGUAACGGCACACCAAGCCAACGAUCGGUAGGGGGUCUGAGAGGAUGAUCCCCCACACUGGUACUGAGACACGGACCAGACUCCUACGGGAGGCAGCAGUAAGGAAUAUUGGACAAUGGAGGCAACUCUGAUCCAGCCAUGCCGCGUGAAGGAAUAAGGCCCUAUGGGUUGUAAACUUCUUUUAGACGGGACAAAACCCCUUUACGUGUAAAGGGUUGAUGGUACUGUCAGAAUAAGCAUCGGCUAACUUCGUGCCAGCAGCCGCGGUAAUACGAAGGAUGCAAGCGUUAUCCGGAAUUAUUGGGUUUAAAGGGUGCGUAGGCGGACUGAUAAGUCAGUGGUGAAAGCCUGCAGCUUAACUGCAGAAUUGCCGUUGAUACUGUCAGUCUUGAGUACAGUUGAGGUAGGCGGAAUGUGUCAUGUAGCGGUGAAAUGCUUAGAUAUGACACAGAACACCGAUUGCGAAGGCAGCUUGCUAAGCUGUAACUGACGCUGAGGCACGAAAGCGUGGGGAGCAAACAGGAUUAGAUACCCUGGUAGUCCACGCCCUAAACGAUGAUAACUCGCUGUUGGCGAUACACAGCCAGCGGCCAAGCGAAAGCAUUAAGUUAUCCACCUGGGGAGUACGACCGCAAGGUUGAAACUCAAAUGAAUGACGG